rnacentral:rRNA from 1 species
UGUAACGUGUGGGCAGCGGCGGCGGUAAUACGAAGGGGGCGAACGUUGCUCGGAAUUAUGUGGCGUAAAGCGUACGGAGGCGGCUUAGCAAGUCGCAUGUGAGAUCCCACUGGUUAACCGUGGAAGUGCAUGGGAAACUGCUGAGCUUGAGUACUUAAGAGGAUCGCGGAAUUCCCGGUGUAGAGGUGAAAUUCGUAGAUAUCGGGAGGAACACCAGUGGCGAAGGCGGCGAUCUGGGAAGAUACUGACGCUGAGGUGCGAAAGCGUGGGGAGCAAACAGGAUUAGAUACCCGGGUAGUC